UCAUCACCAUCAUCAUCCUGAUUGAUCUUUCGGGAGGAUACGUAUCGCCCUGGAAGAUCGCAUAAUCUUCCAGAGGCUAGCAAGGAUUGCGCCAUUAUAGCCCUCGGAAGAGAACUUCAUCUUCCGAGGGCUUUUCAGU
rfam:Photobacterium damselae subsp. damselae CIP 102761 Contig58, whole genome shotgun sequence.